CGGGCGCCCGUCCCGCCGCGCCGCCCCCGCCGCCCGGCCCCGCCCCGCACCAUAGAGGUGGCUCCAGGCAGGAGAAACACUAUCCAUGACGGUCAGUCUUCCCUGCCAAGAUGCGAGAGUGGCAAAACCUCAUCACGUACCAGAGCAGGCUCUCAUGCUCCCACUCCUACCAUCAGCCUUAAGGAAAUGACUCAUAAAAGUCUAUCUGAAGGCUGUUACGACUUCAUUUUUCUUUGUCUCUGAAGCAUAGAAAAGAGCACCAACUGUCAAGCUUUUGGGAAAAAAACCCACAUUUGUGAGUAUGAAGUAGUGUUUUCAGUCCUGGGUUUUUCUAAUUCUACCAUGUUGUUGUCUGUUCUACUGCAAGGUGAAUCACACUCUGCAAUGAAGUGACGACAGUCUUUGACAUCACCAUCCUAUAACAGAAGUUUUGUGGCAGCUUUGUUUAUCUUUUCAUGGCAAACUUUUAAUAAA